rnacentral:rRNA from 1 species
GGACGAACGCUGGCGGCGUGCUUAACACAUGCAAGUCGAACGGAAAGGCCCUGCUUUUGUGGGGUGCUCGAGUGGCGAACGGGUGAGUAACACGUGAGUAACCUGCCCUUGACUUUGGGAUAACUACAGGAAACUGGGGCUAAUACCGGAUAGGAGCUCCUGCUGCAUGGUGGGGGUUGGAAAGUUUCGGCGGUUGGGGAUGGACUCGCGGCUUAUCAGCUUGUUGGUGGGGUAGUGGCUUACCAAGGCUUUGACGGGUAGCCGGCCUGAGAGGGUGACCGGCCACAUUGGGACUGAGAUACGGCCCAGACUCCUACGGGAGGCAGCAGUGGGGAAUAUUGCACAAUGGGCGGAAGCCUGAUGCAGCAACGCCGCGUGCGGGAUGACGGCCUUCGGGUUGUAAACCGCUUUCGCCUGUGACGAAGCGUGAGUGACGGUAAUGGGUAAAGAAGCACCGGCUAACUACGUG